GAUGAAGAACGUAGCGAAAUGCGAUACUUGGUGUGAAUUGCAGAAUCCCGUGAACCAUCGAGUCUUUGAACGCAAGUUGCGCCCGAAGCCACUAGGCCGAGGGCACGCCUGCCUGGGCGUCACACGCCGUUGCCCCCCCAUCUACUCCUUCGGGAUUGCGGGGGGGCGGAUGAUGGCCUCCCGUGCGCCUAGCCGCGCGGUUGGCAUAAAUACCAAGUCCUCGGCGACGCACGCCACGACAAUCGGUGGUUGCGAAACCUCGGUUGCCCGUCGUGUGCGUUCGUCGCGCAUCGAGGGCUCGAAAAAAUGCUCGGCUCCGGCUGGGCUUUCAACGCGACCCCAGGUCAGGCGGGGUUACCCGCUGAAUUUAAGCAUAUCAAUAAGCGGGAGGA
rnacentral:misc_RNA from 1 species